CCCAGCCCAGCACCGGGGGAGGGACCGGCCCGCCGCCGCACCGCGCCGCACCGCACCGGAGAGAGGAGCAUCCCGCCCAGCGCGCACCGCAGCCUCUCCCUGCCCCGGGGCAUCCCCCGGGACCCCCCCAGCCGAGCUGUCGUGAGCCAGAAAACCAGCGAACUGGCGACCGCCUGAAGUCUCGGAAGCCGUUCCCCGCUCAGGUCGAUAAGCUCAUCGAGUCUGCAGGUGGCUGGUCACCCGUGGCAUGCCCCCCCGCCUGCAUCGGUGCAGCAUGCGAUGGGCUGCACCAGAACCGCAGCACAAUGCAACCUGCAAGAUCCAGAUCUACACCAACCCCAGAAGCAGUGGCCUGCGCACAAUGUUGGGAGCAGACCAUAUAGAAAGGUUGGACUGGAGACACAAUGAAGAAGAUGACCACGGCUAAAGAGCUUCAUCCCCAACACCAGCUUCCAGCCCUCGGGAGAGCGGCUGCCCCGCAGGGCCUGGUCUGCCCUUGCCCAUCUCAGAAUGAGCGUUGGAUGGUUUAAGUGUGUUUGAACCUUUUCCCCACAAGCAGUUGUGAUAAAUCAUCAGUUUACCACGGAAGGGAGUUAUCUCACAGAAAAAGUCUCCGCGAGCUCCAGGCCAUGGAGAUAAGCGGGAGCCCUGGUGAGAUAGUCCUCCCUGUAAUGGCCAAGUGCCCCCACACCUCCCGGAGAAGACGACCCACGAGACCUGUGAGAGGACAUCAUCGCCCUCCCCUCUCUCCAUGCAGCUGUUGAGGAGAGCUCUCCUUCCCUGCAAGGGUGGAAAGAGGGAUCUUUUAGGAGAUUUAUUUUUAAGACAUUUUUAAAAGCCCUGUGUUUUGGGAGUUAUCCCCGGGCACGGGCAGGCUGGGGUUUCUGCUGGAUUCCUUCCCCGGGAUUUUUGCUGGUCAAGGAGGUAUCUGUUGGGGCCUGGCCUUGUGCUCCCUGGAAAAGUAGCCUCAGUUAUUAUCGCUCUUCCCCUAUUGUCACUGUGCUGAGGAAGAGGCCUCCCAGCACCUCCAGCGCUAACAUUUAGAGAGGUAGAUGGGUCCCAUCCUGACAGGAGCUCAGCACUUCCCAUCACUGCCUCUGAGCUGCACUUCUUGGGCUGUUCCCACUGCUCUGUAGCAUGCCCGUGUUGCAAAACCAGUGUAAACCCGCAUGCACAGGGCAGUCAGGGGUAUGCCUGUACCACCUCCCCAGUGCCAUCCACGUCCAGCCCACUCACCCCAGCUCAGCGCCCCACGUUUGGCCCAUGUCGGGGCAGGACAAUGGGGUCAUGGGACCCACAGCCCCCGAGCAGGGCAGUGGAGGUGGCUCUACCCUGUAAUGAGUGGCACGCAUGUGUGUUGGGGCGGGCAUCAGUCUCCGCUGCUUCUUUGGAUGGUGUUUGUGCUCUCCAGUAGCUCACACAAGAGGCUUUGUCUGGCUGCUGGUCGCUGCUGUAAUGCUCUUUCAUUAAGAGGGGAAAAAAAUUGGUCGGCUUUGUGUGCUGAAAGGCAGAAACAGAUCCAGCCACUUCCCCCACCCCCAAGGGCCAUAGCAUGGAAUACAUUUGCAUGCUGUUAACAUUUUUAACACGGGGGUUUCUACAACUCUCGCCAGACACAAAAAGCAUCCAGGACCAUUACCAGGUCUAACACCUUUCUGUCUCCCGAAGGUGAUGGAUGGCAUCAAACAGAAGUCUGAAGAGGGCCCGGUGGUGAUUCAUGGCUGGCGGGCCAAACCUGCAUGCCCGGAAACUGCCCACUUGCCAGACCUGUUGAACGGCAGCUGGCACCUCCUCCCCUGCUCUGUGGCUGGGGGUAAAACCCAUCGUGCUCCUUACAGACGAAGGGCCCUGUUGCCCGCUGUUCUGAAAGACGGAUUGUGUAAGUGCAGUGCAAGGCUGAUGGCCUGGUUUAUGCCGGGAGGGGUUAUGAUGAGUGGUUUAUAAGCUGCCCUUCAAUGUGCACCACCCACAGGUCCAGGGUGGGUCCAGGGGGGUGCAGCGGUGCAGUCUCACCCCGCUUUGAGUCCUGGCCCACCCAACGCCUAAUACCAACCGCCCGGCAGUGGCAGCAGUGUUUCUAGUCAGGCAACACUGAGCGAGUCCCUUGACUUCAUGGCUUAUUCUCAUCUACCUGAUCCCUUCCCGACUCCUCAUUCUGCAGGUGUUAACGACCCUUCCACCUUUUGAACGGUGUUGAUGUUCCACAAAUAAACUAUUAUUUCAGUAAGGCAUUGGAUGCAUUACCAAGACAUGCAAAAAGGCUAUGAACCUGAAAAGCGAGGUGCCCAUUUUAUUCUGAUGGCUACAGGACAAAUGACGCUAUCUGUUUGGAUUACUUCUUGCCUAGCUCCUUGUGAUUUUAUACAUAGCCUACGAUAGAACAAAGCCGUGCAUGUUCCAGUAAAGUGAUCUUCGUUUUUGCUUUGAUCUUAAACUGAAUAAUAUAGGCCUAGGCCCCUGGUGUAUUAGUAAAGCUUCUAGUUUCUUUUUCA